GACGAACCGUGCGAACGUUGUUCGGAUUCACUGGGCUUAAAAGGGCGCGUAGGCGGACGGUCAAGUCGGGGGUGAAAUCUUUCAGCUUAACUGGAAAAGUGCCUCCGAUACUGAUCGUCUCGAGGGAGGUAGGGGCAUGUGGAACUCCCGGUGUAGCGGUGAAAUGCGCAGAUAUCGGGAGGAACACCGGUGGCGAGGCGGUUCUCUGGGCCUGACUGGACGCUGAGGAGCGAAAGCGUGGGGAGCGAACAGGG
rnacentral:rRNA from 1 species